UACGGAGGAAGCAAGCGUUAUCCGGAAUUAUUGGGCGUAAAGCGUCCGUAGGUGGCCAUGCAAGUCUGCUGUCAAAGCAUGGAGCUUAACUCCAUAGAGGCAGUGGAAACUGAAUAGCUAGAGUUCGGUAGGGGUAGCGGGAAUUCCCAGUGUAGCGGUGAAAUGCGUAGAGAUUGGGAAGAACAUCGGUGGCGAAAGCGAGCUACUGGGCCGAAACUGACACUGAGGGACGAAAGCUAGGGGAGCGAAUGGG
rnacentral:rRNA from 1 species